GAUCGCUUGACGGCCAACAAACGGUACAACUGACGGCACGACAUACCUUUAUAAGCUGCACGUUAUGUUAAUAAAUAAUAAUUUAUUAUUCAGUUCACGGCGAGUCUGUUUCGAAGGAUAUUUAAAUUGAAAGGCUUAGCCUAUUUUUACCAGUAUGAAGCCGGUUUUCAACGGUUGCUGCAAACGGCAAGCACGCAGUUCAAGUCAUCACUGGAGGGACCUGUGCAUAACUUUGGAUGAGAGAAGACUCAACGCCUGACUUAAAUCUUGCGAAAUUACGGUGAACUUGAGGAUCCUGAAUUUUGUUUUUUGAGAGGAGGGCGCACCAGAGCCUUUGAGGGCAUGCAUUGUAACGUGAGAGUUCACACCACCAGAAGAUGCAUUGUAACCAAGUCCACAAAGACCCCCCCCCCAGUGCAAGCUGAAGGACACAAAUGGCAAAACCUCGGAAGCCAAAGAAGUAGAUGAGGGCUUGACUCAGUGACACCCAAGCGAAAAACCC